UUCCUGAAACAUAUGAGUUUGAAACAACUAAGACUACCUCCUAUAGACAUUUUUAUGAGUGAAGUGGUAGAUGAGUGCUAGCUAUCAAGGGUGUAAAUAAGGAGAGUACAAUUGGCAUAAAAGUUAGAAAACAGUUUAAGGGCAUCUUUAACACUAUUCCAUUUUUUACUCUAAACAUUAUUUUGGAGUAAAAUAUGUUUCAACUCCACUUUAUUUUCAACGCCAAAAUAGAGUAAAAAAUAGAAUAAUGGUUAGGGUUACUCCAUUUAUGGAGUAAUUCUAAAUAUUAGAGCAUCUCUAAUGUACAACUCUAUUUUUCCUUCAAAAUUAAAUAUGAAGUAAAAAUACUUCAAUCCUACUUUAUUUUUCACUCUAUAAUGGAGUCAUAAACAAAAAAAUAUGGAGUAAAUCUCAUUAUGGAAUGAGAAGUGGAAUAGGGUUGGAGUACUAAUUACUUCAUACUUCCUUUUACUCUAUUUUGGAGGAAUAAAUGGUGUUGAGUUGGAUUGAACUUUUUUAAUUUAUAGAAUGGUCUUUUGAAUUUUUUUAUUUCAUACUUAAAUAAUAUUCAAAAAUAAUAUAAAAUAAAUAUAAUUUUUCAUAAGAGAUUAUUUAAUAAUUUUAAAUAAAAGUUGCAUAAACUAAUAAAAAUACUAAAACUAAACAUUAAAAUAUAAAAUAAAUAUAACAUAAAAUAAGUAAUUUAAUAAUCUGGUAUACCAUUUUUGGAAUUGCCAUAAUCGGUGAAGCAUUGCCCAAACAAAGAAAAUGUUUGAUUUUAAAAUUUUCUUGCCCAGUUUAAGAAAAUCAUGGAUAAAGAAACUCAUUAUUCAUUCUGAAAUGCACUAGUUGAACAUUUGCGAGAAAAAAUAUUCUAAUACUCGUUAUUGAAGCAAAAUAUUUAUCUUAUGUAUAUUUUUAUGAUAUAUUAUAUUUUUAAUAAAAAAUAUUUAAUUUAAAUAAAUUACAUGUUGUGGAUGUUUAAUAAACAUAAGAUAUUUAGGGUUAAUUGGUAAGUUUUUGUAAGUAGAAAGUGUUAGUAAUAAUUAUUAAUUAAAAAAAUAUUUUUUCUUAAAAUAUUCAUUUUUGGAGUGAAAAAUAAAGUAAUAUACUGGAAUAAAAUCCUACUCUAUUUUGGUGUUAUUGAGUAAAAUAUAGAGUAAUCGUUGGAGAUGCUCUAAAUCAACAACAUCGUCUUCUUCUUCAACAGCCUAAACUACUCACUACCAACAAAUUUCAAGAUGAUGUCCCCAAGUAAACUUAUCAGUGCUAAUGAUACACCAUAAUAAAACCAAAAGGGUAGAGGACAACAAAGGAAAACUUUUUCAUACCUAGCCCUGCACAUUCAUAGUAGCAGAACGUACCAAUAUGCUAUAUAUUAUAUAUACUCAAAAAUAAAAUACUUAAAAACAAAAGCAUAUUAAUAAAGUAAAUCACUGAUGAAGAGAUGGAAUAUAACAAUAAGUGAUGGUUACUAUUGUGUGUUGAUUUUAUUAGUGUAUUUCUAAUAAUAAUAAUUUUAAACACUUUUUUUACUGUUUAGUGUGUAUUGUUACAAAACCGUUAGCUAUUUGAUUCAUUUGUGGAAAUGUGCGGUCCAUGACUUAAAAACACUACUCUAAAAACGCAAUAGUACUUUUCUUAUUUUUUGAAAAACACAAAGUAUAAGAAGAAAUUUCUAAUUGAAUAGCUAAAAACAUAUUAAUAAAGUAAAUCACUGAUGAAGAGAUGAAAUACAACAAUAAAGUAAAAGCAUAUUAAUACAACAAUAAAGUAAAAGCAUAUUAAUAAAGUAAAUCACUGAUGUGCGGUCCAUGACUUAAAAAACACUAUUCUAAAAAUGCAAUAGUACUUUUCUUAUUUUUUGAACAACGCAAAGUAUAAGAAGAAAUUUUCUGAUUGGUGACCAAAUGCGUUUUUAACGUAAAUCAAAAACGUGUUUAUCAAUGUCUCCAUUCACACACUAUGUCUGAUUUUCUUUGUCUCACUACAGUAUCAGAAUUAUUUGCUUUGACUUUGAUUGACAGGUUUAUGUCCUCAUGGCAUUUUAUUUCUUCAUGCAUCCUAAUGUGGUAUAAAACACUUCUAAAAUUAUUUCCUAAUGUGGUAUAAAACACUUCUAAAAUUACUCCAACACUGUCCUAGAUAUCGAGUUCUCAGCUCAAAAUGGUAUGUUCUGUUAGCAGUUUGUUCUCAUCUUAUUUUUUAACAGUCUAAUAUAAACAUUAAUAAAUUCAAAUAUUUCACAGUAAAUUAGCCAAGUGUCAGCAAAGCUGUUAGCUAGUUAGUUAAGUAUGAAUAGAUUUACCUAAAAUUAGAAUUUAACCUUUUAGCACUCUUUUGUGCAAGUUUUAUAAAAAUCUUAAUAGCUAUGAUAGAUUAUAGUAAAUUUUAGUUUGCAUGGGGAAAAACUCUGUUUAUAUAAUAACAAUUUUAACAAAUAAAAAUCUCAACUUUUGGUGCAUUACCAUUUAGCAAGAAGGAGGACAAAAGGCAAUUAAAGUUCAUACAUGUAAUCCAAGUAAGCGUCCUCGUCAUAAUGAGCAGUUUUUCAAUGGUUAAAUAGAGUAGCUGGAGAAAGAAACGUGACCAAAAAAAAAAGCUUAGAGGUCUUCCAGUUAGAUUACUAAAGACAAGAAUAAAAAACGUAUUGAGAUCUUAAGCAAAAAAUUAGUAAACAUUGAAACUGAUUCUGAGGCACUUGAAGAACAGUACCUCAAAGUCAAUUUCAUUUACAAGUGAUUUCUCUGAAAAAGUCAAAUAUGAUCAAUUACAAAAGUAAUCUACACAAACUUCUUGCGAUGACAGUAAGAAGAUUUCAUUUGAACAUAAGAAAACUUCUAUAGAAGUUAUGAAAGUUUUCUUAAGAAAAAACAAAUAUCUGUAGAAAUUUAAAUUGUAAAACUAACAUGUUUUUUUUUAAACCAACAUGUUUACCAUAUAAAAUUUCUAGAGAAGUCUUCUUUGGAAUUUUCGAAGAUUUUUUAAAUUCAAAAAUAAGCCACUAUUUACGAAAGAAGACUAAAUAUUGGAUUUUGUUUGGAUCAUAUGGCCACUUGUAUGGAAGUUCGGUUGAUUGCUACUCUUUUUUUGUGUCAUCAUCAUCAAGCUUGAGACUUGAGUGAGAGAGGUUGAGGCAGCAUCAUCACAAGUUCUGAAAAGGACAAAACUUUUUCUGGUUCAACUCACGCUUCUCCUCCACAAGAUCCAAAACAGUUUACUUGGGAAACCAAAACUUGAACGAAUACAAGAACUAAUUUUAUAUAAGCAUAAGACCAAAGCCACUUUUUCUUGUGUCUCCAUGCUUUGUAUUUGAGUUACUCUUGUUUUGAGAGAGAGAGAGAGAGAGAGAGAGAGAGAGAGAGAGAGAGAGAGAGAGAGAGAGAGAGAGAGAGAGAGAGAGAGAGAGAGAGAGAGAGAGAGAGAGAGAGAGAGAGAGAGAGAGAGAGAGAGAGAGAGAGAGAGAGAGAGAGAGAGAGAGAGAGAGAAACAUGUUGCUUGUUUCUGUCUACUGUUCCUGUUCUUCAAUGAACACCAGUUCUAUGGAGAAUCAACACCAUUUGGUAAGAAGUCGCAUAAGACGGCUGAGAUAUUGGGUUACCUGAACUCUCAGCAGGCGUUGGCUGAUUAUGCAAUCAUGAUUAGAAGCUUGAAGCAGAAUUUAUCGUCCGAGGCAUCACCUGUGGUUGUAUUUGGUGGCUCGUAUGGUGGAACGUGGUUCAGGCUCAAGUAUCCCCACAUAGCAAUCGGAGCAUUAGCAUCCUCUGCUCCAAUUCUUCAAUUCGAUAAUAUUGUGCCAUUAACAAGCUUCUAUGAUGCAAUAUCUCAGGAUUUUAAGGAUGCGAGUGUUAAAUGUUUCAAAGUCAUAAAGAGAAGCUGGGAAGAGCUAGAUGCAGUUUCCAACAUGAAGCAUGGCUUGCCAGAACUCAGUAAAAAGUUGAAGACUUUCUUUUAGAUAGCAGAAGACAAGAUGAGUAUGUUAUGAAACUAUAAAUAACAUAAUGUUAUGUCACUGAGUGGAAACAGGCGUGUACAGAGAUGGUGAUGACAUUGAGCUGCUCAAACAAGAGCAUGUUCCCACCGUACGAAAAUGACUUUGAGAAAAUUGAAGAACAGUUCAUGAGUAGAUUCGGAGUCAAGCCUCGACCACAUUGGAUCACCACAGAGUUUGGUGGGAAGGGUUAGUUUUGUAUUGUGUCUUCUCUCAUUUCCUUCCCAUCUAUCGGAUCAGAUUUAACAAAAUGAGAUUCGUGGUAUUGUUUUUGUCAUAUAUUUUCACGGUUGUGGAGAACAUCUCGAGCAGUAUUUUCGCGCUUGUGACCAAGAAAAGUAACAUUUCUUCUGUCAAAAUGGUGGUGUUGAGAAAAAAAUGAAACUUUACGUUGUUUUGCAUCAAACAGGUGCGCACCAUGCGUAUGGAUCUCAGGGCAGCUACGAAAGGCGACCCGGAGUGGUUAAAAGAGCAGAGGAAGCAAGAGGUGGCCAUUAUAGAAAAGUGGAUCAGUGAGUAUUACACAUAUUUGAAAGAAGAAGACUAGGUUUAAGAAGACCAAUAGAAAGCCAAAAGUUCCUCUUUCUGGGAAGGAUUCUCUCAGAUCGAUUCUUCCAAAAUUUGCAAAACUGGAACAAAAUCCGAUUGCAAUCUUAGAUUAGUUGAUUCCGCCUGAAACCCGAUGUGAAUGUUUGGGCUCCUCUCACUCGUCAUCAUUGAGAUGAAAUAUUAUCGCUUGGAGGAGGAAACCCACCGGCCUUUUAGUUGCUGCUUUACAUACCUGGAAGCUUACUCCGCAUGAAACCAUCCUUACCAAGGUAUCUGCUUCAGAAGGUGUUCAAAACCAAAUUGUUCAAGAUUUUGAGGAGAUUUCAAGUGUAGCAGACUUUUGUGGCAGGUAUGUGCUUUUCCAACUGGCUUGUAAUUAGUUUCUGAAAUUCAAACAUGUGUGAAAUCAAAAUUAAUUUCAUUUCCACUAGACACGUGCUUGAAUAAGCAUCCAAAUCUUAACAUAUUUAUGUGUUAGCCUUUAUACUUAUGUGAGAGCGUGAAGUAUAUAUGCCAAUAUUGAUUUUCUCAGGUAUGUGCUUCUCUUAUGGAUGCCCAAAGAAGAUUUUUCUAAUGUUUACAAUUCUUUGGUGAAGUAUGGAUUUAUCACCCUCUUUAUAUUGUAUAACUUUGGAUUUGAAUCAAUGUUUCAGAUAACCACAUCUCUGUUUCAUGAAGAAAACACUGUCACUUGAAAUUCUGCAGGUCUAUUUUCUUCUGCAUCAACCGAUUUCAAAUCCUAAUGUGGUGUGUAUCUCAAACCUCCAUACAUGGGUUCUGCACAAUCACUUAAAAAUUUCAAAACAUACAUACAUAGGUACAAACAUGCAUUCAUAUAUACGUACUUUCAUACUGUAUACAUGCAUAAUUGCUUACAUACAUCAUUGUUUAUUUGCUUUCUUGAUUUUUUGUUUGAUUCUUCUGGUAACUUACUUGCUUCUUUAUGUACCCUUUCAUUCAUACUUCUUCCCUUGCUUGCUUUCUUGAUGUUCUGCUUCUUUAUUGACUUCCAUGAUUCAUUGUUUCACUUCUUUAGUCUUGAUUUUUAUUCCUAAAAACUUUAUAAUGAAGUAUCAUGACAAGAUUAAUUCUAAUCACCUCCUCUUGAGUUUGUUCGGAGCAUGAGAGAUUUUAUCAUUUGUCUAAUGUUUGUUUCUCCCUAAUAUACUAUCUAGCUAUUAUAAUUGUAAGAACGAGAGAUUUGAACUAUUUAUUAUAAGUUUUCUGGUUUAUCAUUUAAUAAAUUAAACAUUUCUUAGUUUAUACAUAGUUUACAUAUACUAGAAAGGUAAAGUAUUAUAUAUAUAUAUAUAUAUUUUUUUUAUUAUUGGUAUAUUCUUAAGUAACUAAACCUCAAAAAUAUAGGUUAAUAAAAUAAGUAAUUUAUUUUGGUGUUCUAGAAUUAGAUGAUUUUUAGACCAAAAUGGUGAAUAUAUAUUAGACAGACAUUUAUAUUUCGAGUGCAUUUAUAUUCUAUAACAACUUGAUAUAUUAGAUUUUAAUACUAACUUGUGAAUAGAGUUUGCUGGUGAUUUUAUUCAAAAAAUUGAUUAUUUGAUAUGUAUAUGGAGUGAAACUAAUCUUUACAAAUGUUCAUCUUUUUAAAUUGAUAUUUAUGGAGUUCACUAAAUUCACAUAAGAUGUUAAAAAACGAAAACUUAUAUCAGUGAAACAAAAACGAGAACGAAAGCACAAUUUUAUAGAUGUAGAAAAUGAAAUAAAUUAUGGAGAGUCAAUAGUAAAAAAAAAUCAAGAGCAGAAAACCGAAUCAUCUUUCGUCAUUUUACAACCGAUGUUACCAAUCUAGUCUUGGUGAUUUGUGUUAGCCACACAAUUUAGUUUCUUUUUGUGCAUAUGAAGUCUUACAAUAAUUAAAAUGAGCUGUAAUACGUUAAUUUUUCAAUAACGAUGAUACAUUUAAGAGAACAACAUAUGUAUUCGUCAUUUUACAACCAAUAAAGAUUGUAGUGUUGCAAAAUGUUAAAACCAGUUAACAAACAAAAAUUAGUAUAAAAAACUCACCCCACGCAUGUGCCCGUAUUUUCAUCUAGUUUUUUAUUAAAAGUAGAGACUUGAGCCAUAAUUUCCAUUUACCUUUGUCUAAGACCGGUCCAGAUAGGAAUUAGAGCAGCCCUAUUACAUGGAAUACUCUCUUUCGAUUCUUAAGCAUUAUAAUAUUAGUUGUUAUGUUGUAUAAUUAAGUUUAAAUAUUUAUUAGAACUUUGACCACUAAUAAAAGUUACAUCUGUCUACAAAAUAUCUAAUCUAGUUUUAGAGCAUCAUUAGUGGGAAAGUAUCUUCCAAAAGUAUAUCACUUUAUUAUAGUAUAUUAUUAAAUAAUAUAAUUAAAAUUUAAGUAAAUAAAUAGAUAAACCAAUCUUGUGAUGACAAAUGUUAUAAAAAUAUCUCAACAUGUGUAAAGAAUUUCUUUGGGAGCAAUUUUUUCAUGCAUUUUUUUUGCUCUUUCAUCUCUUUUUAUUUCUUUUAAUAUUUUUAUUGUGAAGGACUAUUUGAGGUACCCUCACUAAUCUCUAUUAUUAAAAAAGAAGUACCAUUUAAAAUUGCCCCUUAUUUUUCAUACUUAUUUACACUUCUAUGCCACUAACUAAUUAUUAAACUACCUAUUUUAAUGCUUGUCUUUUUUGUUUUAUUAAUGCAACUAGUGUCUUGCCCGUAGCAGUCCGCGCUACGCGCGGAGCGGUUGUUUAUUGUGUUUUUAAAGAUUUUGUUUAUGUUGCACAUCUUUUUACUAUGAAGGUUAGUAUUGGUGCUUAGUUUUUCAUGAAAUCAGCAACCAACAUUUUGCUAUACACAAUGGUGUUAAGUUCGUUCUACAUAUAUUGUUUUAAUUGUGCGAAUUUUAUUUUACAAUUAUGUUUUAUAUAUAUUGUUUUUUUUUUCUUGUAAUGUAUAUGAGAUUCAUGGUCGAAAUGGUGAAUAAUGUGUAUUAGGUUUAGUAGUGAAGAUAAUGUCUAUUUGGUUUAGUAGUGAAAAUAUAUUGGAAGGAAAUUGUGAAUUGUAUGUUAUAGCCUCAGCAUUUGAAGUUUAAGUUUAGACAUUUAGCUUUGUUUUAUUUUAAAAUGUAUUAUUUUUUUUUUAUUGUUAUGAAAAAUUAAUGGUGGGAAUGAAAAAUAUAUGUUUGGGGAUAAAUUAUUAAAAGUAAAUUAUCUUGUUUUAAAAUUUACACAAUUGUAGAAAGCAAUACAUAAAUUAAACUGAAAUUUAAACAUAAUUUUGUGUAAUCAGGAAUCAAAUAUUACUUUCCCUACAUACCGGUUAACUUAUGUUUGUACGAAGCCAUUGAUUAAUGCAAGGAAAAUGGAAAUUAUGUUCCAAGAACCUCAGAGGACGCACAUCCGCCGUGUUUGAGCAACAUUAUGCUCUCAAGUUGGUGAGAAGAACAUAUGAAAUCUGAAGGCGUCCGUCGGAUUUCUUAAGCUAUGAGAUAUCUCAAUGGUGCAUAUCUUAUUUAUAGCUCGACCUUGGAUCUGUUACUAAUGCCGCUUGUUAAUGAGAAUAAAUGAGAGGGAGUGAGAAGAAAGGUGGAGUGAAGCUUAAUGAUUGAAUUAAAGCUUGAUUUUAAGUGAAAGCGAAGACGUUACAUAAAAACGCAGUCAGAGACGAUGGAAAGUGACGACGUCGAUCAGCUGAAGAUGGCACAACUAACUCUAAAUACAAACGGGGCCGCAUAUAUCAAAGUAUGGGCUAAUAAAUAAAUAGAAAUGUCCAAUAAAUAAUCAGAAAAUCCAGGUAAUCCACUAGCCAUAAACACCAAAGAAAAAAGAAGAAGAAAAUCCACGAACUGGAAGAAAAAAAAAGAGGAAGCUUUCUCUUCGCUCGACACGGGUCGCAAAAUAGAGAUAUGAUGGAUGAUGUGGCGCAUUGUGGAGAGUUUCUCUUCGACUUUAUUAUUAUAGAUUUUCUAAAUUGAAGUACAAUAAAUUAAGUGUCAUUUAUUUCAGAAAUAUUUCCUUAACUCUAGCUAAACAUUAAAUUAUAUUUAAUCAGUUCCAAAAAUGUAACAAGAUGUCCUUUAUUACGGGUUGGGUAUUUUUUAUUUUGGUAUAAUUUACUAUGUAAAAAAACACAGAAAAUGUAAUAAAAUAUACAAUAUAAAACACAACAAAUAAAUGAUAUAUUGAUUUUUUUAUCGUAUAAAUCAAAUAUAACCAUAGAUAACAAUUAUAUUUCACAUUAAAAUUUUGAUCCAACAAAAUUACAUUUGCACGAACACACGAGUCAUAUUUGAAAAAUAAAUGAUAUACAAUAUAAAACACAACAAAUAAAUGAUAUAUUGAUUUUUUUAUCGUAUAAAUCAAAUAUAACCAUAGAUAACAAUUAUAUUUCACAUUAAAAUUUUGAUCCAACAAAAUUACAU